rnacentral:lncRNA from 1 species
AGUGCCCUCUUCCUCUUGGCUGCUGCAGGGUGCCUUCCCUUCCAAGACUCUCAGUUUGAUCCAGAUGGAUAUUUUUGGGCUCUUAUCCACAUCUUUUGUGUAGGUUCUUACAAAAUACUUCGGAAGUCCCGGAAGCCCACUGUGCUAAGUGACAUUGACCAGCAGUACUUAAACUAUAUAUUCAGCAUGGUACUCCUGGCAUUUGCAUCUCAUCCGACAGGUGACCUCUUCGGUGCCCUGGACUUUCCAUUCUUGUAUUUCUACAGGUUCCAUGGCAGCUGCUGUGCCAGUGGAGUUUUGGGAUUCUUCCUCAUGCUCAGUACAGUCAGGCUGAGAAGCAUCCUGGCCCCAGGGCAGUGCGCAGCCUGGAUCCUCUGUGCUAAGGUCGUCACAGCUGGCUUGUCGAUGUUGCUGUUUGAUAUGGCCCUGACCAAAGCAACUGUGGGAUGAUGCAAGCUGGUACAACCACUCUGGAAAUCAGUCUGGCAUUUCCUCAGAAAAUUGGACAUAGAACUACCUGAAUACCCAGCUAUACCACUCCUGAGCAUAUACCCAGAAGAUGCUCCAACAUGUAGCAAGGACGCAUGCUUAUUUUUAAUAGGCAGAAGCUAGAAAGAACCCAGUUGUCCUCCAACAGAGGAAUGGAUACAGAAAAUGUGGUACAUUUACACAAUGGAGUACUAAUCCACAUUAAAAACAAUGAAUUCAUGGAAUUCGUAGGCAAAUGGAUGGAACUAGAAAAUAUCAUCUUCAGUGAGGUAAUCCAAUCACAAAAGAACACACAUGGUAUGCACUCACUUAUAAGUGGAUAUUAGCCCAAAAAUCUCAGGAUACCCAAGAUACAAUUCACAGACCACAUGAAGCUCAAGAGGAAGGAAGACCAAAGUAUGGGUGCUUUGGUCCUUCUUAGAAGGGGGAACAAAAUACCCAUGGGAGGAGAUAUAGAUACAAAGUGUGAAGCAGAGACUGAAAGAAAGGCCAUCCCAUAUAGAAUCACCAAACCCAGACACUACAGAGGAUGCCAAGAAGUACGUGCCUACAGCAGCCUGAUUUAGCUGUCUCCUGAGAGGCUCUGCUAAAGCCUGACAAAUAUAGAUGCAGAUGCUCACAGCCAACCAUUGGACUGAGCAUGGGGUCCCCAGUGGAGAAGUUCGAGAAAGGACUGAAGGAGCUGAAGGGGUUUGCAGCCCCAUAGGAAGAACAGCAAUAUCAGCCAACCAGAGCUCCUAGGGACUAAACCACCAACCAAAGAGUACACAUAGAGGGACCCAUGGCUCCAGCUGCAUAUGUAGCAGAGGAUGGCUGGGAUGGGGGUUUCUGAAGGGGAAACCAGGAAAGGAGAUAACAUUUGAAAUGUAAAUAAAGGGGGCUAGAGAGAUGGCUCAGCGGUUAAGAGCACUGACUGCUUUUCCAGAGGUCCUGAGUUCAAAUCCCAGCAACCACAUGGUGGCUCACAACCAUCUGUAAUGAGAUCUGAUGCCCUCUUCUGGUGUGUCUGGACAGCUACAGUGUACUUAUAAUAGUAAAUAAAGAAAAUAUCCAAUAAAAGAGCGAAAAGAAAACACACAAGCUUUUCUUCCCCACCUCUGUGUAUGUCCCCUCUCCCCAAUCUCCAGCAUAUCCAUCAAGGAGACACAGUUUGAGUUGGUUCAGCAGUAGAACAGGAGCACUUGUUUGCAUGUUUCAAAGAAGGGACGACAUCCUGUGCUGAGCAUUGGCUCACAUUCUAGGGAAGACUUUUAAAGUAGGGGUUUAAAGUUGGGUCUACGACAUGUGGCUUCAAAGUCUGUUUCUCUGGGUGCAGUGUCUGCCAGUAUCUCCCACUGUUGAGCUGAUGGCUCUCUGGGGAGUUUCUGCAGGAAACAAGCGUACCAUGUCCUUAGGGGCCAUUCCAAGCUGUGGAGCCCUGUGGCCUAAGGCUGAGGGGCAGCACUGUUAAGCUCAUAUGUGAGUGUUGGCAUCAGGAACCAGCUUUACGGUCACAGGUCACCUCCAAAUCCAGCGACUUCAGUGACAUCAUCCCCCUAGGUGACCACGAAAGGACCCAUGCAUCUGUUGCCAUGGCAAUCGCCACACAUUCCCAGUGUCCACCUGGUUCACCUGCCCACCUUUACCUGCAUGCAGCGGUGGGUGCGGUUAUGUCACAGUCCAAAUAAAAGGCAGAGCCCUCUGACCUCUUUCUUUCCUUCUUUGUUGCCCCUCUCUUGCCCUUUCCCCAUCCCUAAUAAACCUCUCUCCUGAG